rnacentral:rRNA from 1 species
UCCUACGGGAGAAAGCAGGGGACCUUCGGGCCUUGCGCUAAUAGAUGAGCCUAAGUCGGAUUAGCUAGUUGGUGGGGUAAAGGCCUACCAAGGCGACGAUCUGUAGCGGGUCUGAGAGGAUGAUCCGCCACACUGGGACUGAGACACGGCCCAGACUCCUACGGGAGGCAGCAGUGGGGAAUAUUGGACAAUGGGGGGAACCCUGAUCCAGCCAUGCCGCGUGUGUGAAGAAGGCCUUUUGGUUGUAAAGCACUUUAAGCGAGGAGGAGGCUACCGAGAUUAAUACUCUUGGAUAGUGGACGUUACUCGCAGAAUAAGCACCGGCUAACUCUGUGCCAGCAGCCGCGGUAAUACAGAGGGUGCAAGCGUUAAUCGGAUUUACUGGGCGUAAAGCGCGCGUAGGUGGCCAAUUAAGUCAAAUGUGAAAUCCCCGAGCUUAACUUGGGAAUUGCAUUCGAUACUGGUUGGCUAGAGUAUGGGAGAGGAUGGUAGAAUUCCAGGUGUAGCGGUGAAAUGCGUAGAGAUCUGGAGGAAUACCGAUGGCGAAGGCAGCCAUCUGGCCUAAUACUGACACUGAGGUGCGAAAGCAUGGGGAGCAAACAGGAUUAGAUACCCUGGUAGUCCAUGCCGUAAACGAUGUCUACUAGCCGUUGGGGCCUUUGAGGCUUUAGUGGCGCANCUAACGCGAUAAGUAGACCGCCUGGGGAGUACGGUCGCAAGACUAAAACUCAAAUGAAUUGACGGGGGCCCGCACAAGCGGUGGAGCAUGUGGUUUAAUUCGAUGCAACGCGAAGAACCUUACCUGGUCUUGACAUAGUAAGAACUUUCCAGANAUGGAUU